UAAUAUCCCUGGGGGAGGUUUUGUGUAACACUUAAAUCCUGAGAGUCUCUUAAGCCGAUUGACAUAGACUAGACGGCUUAAACGACAACCCUUGGAACCUGAUACGGGUAAUGCCGUCGUAGGGAUAGGGAAGAUGUGUGUAA
rnacentral:ncRNA from 2 species